GACGAACGCUGGCGGCGUGCCUAAUACAUGCAAGUCGAGCGCAGGAAACUGACGGAACUCUUCGGAGGGAAGGCAGUGGAAUGAGCGGCGGACGGGUGAGUAACACGUAAGGAACCUGCCUCAAGGAUUGGGAUAACUCCGAGAAAUCGGAGCUAAUACCGGAUAGUUCAACGGACCGCAUGGUCCGUUGAUGAAAGGCGCUCCGGCGUCACCUUGAGAUGGCCUUGCGGUGCAUUAGCUAGUUGGGGGGGUAACGGCUCACCAAGGCGACGAUGCAUAGCCGACCUGGGAGGGGAAUCGGCCAAGCUGGAACUACGACACGGCCCAGACUCCUACGGGAGGCAGCAGUAGGGAAUCUUCCACAAUGGACGAAAGUCUGAUGGAGCAACGCCGCGUGAGUGAUGAAGGUUUUCGGAUCGAAAAACUCUGCUGUAAGGGAAGAACACGUACGAGAGGAAAUGCUCGUACCUUGACGGUACCUUACGAGAAAGCCACGGCUAACUACGUGCCAGCCGCCGCAUAA
rnacentral:rRNA from 1 species